ACCACCACCCACCACCACCACCACCAACAACUAAAACAAAAACAAGAAAAACAUCCGCAAAAACUCUUCGCCGCGGUUUUCUCUCUCUGUUCUGAACACCGAUUUUUCUUCAAAUUAAUGCUUUUUAAUAAUCUGAUCGUAAUAAAUUCUCGUCAGCGGACAGCGGCGGAGUCUACGGCGGAGGCGGAAUCGGACGGCGGAGGCGGCGGCCUCAAGGGCCUGAAGAAAGAAGUAGGAGGAGGAGAAGUAAACUUGUUGGUGUUUUUAGUGUUAUUUUUCAGUUCCGGUGAAGUGCCGGUGACCGGUAAGAUUUUGCUGCGGUGAUUAUAUUAUGAAGAAAGCCUCGAAUAGCAUCAAUAAUCAGAAUAAUAUCAAAGCUAUUAAUCAUCAUCAUGGCAAGAAUGGGACUUCGCCUCGGACCAAUGGAUUUGUACCGAAUUCGCUAAAGUUUAUUUCGUCUUGUAUCAAGACGGUGUCGUCUAAUGUGAAGUCUGCUGGUGUAUCCGUCGCUGGUUCUAUCGCCGGUGAUUCGUCAGACGAUCUCCACAAAGACCAGGUUUUAUGGGCUUCCUUUGACGGAAUAGAACUUGGUUCUUCUUUAAGACGUGUUCUUCUUAUUGGUUAUUCCAAUGGUUUUCAAGUUCUUGAUGUCAAUGAUGCAUCUCGUGUCACUGAAUUGGUCUCAAGGCGCGAUGAUCCAGUCACAUUUUUGCAGAUUCAACCUAUGCCUGCAAAGUCUGUUGAGCGUGAAGGAUACAGGGCCUCACAUCCGAUGCUGUUGGUUGUGGCAAGUGAUGAAGCAAGUUAUCCAGGUCCAGUUCAGAAUGGCAGAGAUGGAUUUGUUGAUCAUCAGUCAGCAAACAUUUUGGCGUCUCCUACAACUGUUCGGUUUUACUCCUUAAGGUCUCACAACUAUGUCCAAGUUUUAAGAUUUCGGUCAACUGUAUAUAUGGUUAGGUGCAGUCCGCAGAUAGUAGCUGUGGGUCUUGCAGCACAGAUAUAUUGCUUUGAUGCACUUACUCUAGAGAACAAGUUCAGCGUGCUAACAUAUCCAGUACCUCAAUUGGGAGGGCAGGGUACUAAUGGGGUAAACAUUGGCUACGGUCCAAUGGCUGUGGGCCCCAGGUGGUUAGCCUAUGCUUCUAAUAAUCCCUUGCUGUCAAAUACAGGACGCUUAAGUCCUCAAAGUCUAAGUCCUUCUCCUGGUGUGAGCCCUUCUACCUCACCUGGUAGUGGAAACCUGGUUGCUCGUUAUGCAAUGGAGUCGAGUAAACAGUUAGCAGUUGGAUUAAUCAAUUUGGGUGACAUGGGCUACAAAACUUUAUCAAAAUACUGUCAUGAGCUCCUUCCUGAUGGUUCGAGUUCGCCGGUGUCAUCUAAUUCUAACUGGAAAGGUGGAAGGGCUACAGCACAUUCAUCUGAGACAGAUGCUGCUGGGAUGGUUGUUAUAAAAGAUUUUGCUUCAAAAACAGUCAUAUCACAGUUCAGGGCACAUACAAGUCCAUUAUCUGCUCUCUGUUUUGAUCCAAGUGGAACUCUUCUUGUUACAGCCUCUAUACAUGGGAACAACAUAAACAUAUUCCGCAUUCUGCCUUCUAAAACACAGAAUGGGUUAGGCGCUGAUAACUAUGAUUGGAGUUCUUCUCACGUGCAUCUCUACAAACUUCAUCGUGGCAUGACUUCAGCUGUAAUACAAGACAUUUGUUUUAGUCACUAUAGUCAGUGGGUUGCUGUUGUAUCAUCACGGGGCACUUGCCAUAUUUUUGUUCUCUCACCAUUUGGUGGUGAGACUGGUCUUCGAUUACAAAGUUCUCAUAUUGAUGGUCCCACACUUUCUCCAGUUCUAUCGAUGCCUUGGUGGUCUACUUCAUCAUUCCUGAUAAACCAGCAGGCUUCCCCACCACCACCAGUACCUCUCACUCUCUCUGUAGUUUGCAGGAUAAAAAGCGGGAAUUGGCUGAAUACAGUAAGCAAUGCUGCAUCUUCUGCUGCAGGGAAGGUUUCUCCAACCUCUGGGGUUAUUGCUGCUGUGUUUCACAGUUUGCUACACCAAAAUAGCCAAUCUGUUUCCCCAAAUGGGAAGGCUCUAGAGCACCUGUUAGUUUACUCACCUUCUGGUCAUCUAGUUCAAUAUGAACUGAUGCCCUCUCUUGGGGGAGAACAGAGCGAGUCUUCUCUGAAAAAUGGGACAAGUUCAAUGGUGCAGAUGCAGGAGGAUGAUUUGGGAGUGAAAGUUGAACCUGUCCAGCGAUGGGAUGUUUGUCGAAGAGCAAAUUGGCCUGAAAAAGAGGAAUAUAUUCAGGGUAUUACACUUGGGGGACGGGAAGCUCCUGAGGCAUUCAUGGACACUGCUCAGCCGGAAGAUAACGAGAUUGGAGAAAAGGAUGCUGUGAAACCACAUGACCGAUCUCAUUGGUAUCUCUCCAAUGCUGAGGUGCAGUUGAGGUCUGGGAGGAUGCCAAUAUGGCAAAAAUCGAAGAUAUACUUCUAUACAAUGAGUCAUGGUGGAUAUGAAGAGCAGAACUUGGUGGAUGUAAAUACUGGUGGAGAAAUUGAGAUUGAGAAGAUUCCUGCUACUGAGGUUGAAAUAAGGCGCCGAGAGUUGCUGCCUGUAUUUGACCAUUUCCGCAGAAUCCAAUCUGAUUGGAGAGAUGACAGGUUUCGAUCAUCAUCAUUUGGUUCCCAUACUGGUAAAGAUAAACUAGAAGAUAGUGUAGUCUCUAAUUCUAAACAGAUCUCGCCUGCAUCAACCAAAAAGAUACCUGCAGGUUUUGCUAAAGCAUCAGCAUUUCUUCAUGGCUUGGAUCACAUGGGUGCAUCAGAUUCUGGUUCUGAUGGCUCAACUGUGGAUGAGAAUGAUGGUGUAAGGAGAUCAGGUUCUGUUUCUUUGAACCGUAGGUCUUCAAGUUCCCCUGAAUCAUCUGCUAAAACCAUGAAUUCUCUUGAAGAAAGUUACAUUGUAAAUAGACCAUCAUCUCCCAAGAACGGGCCUCUUUCUACUGAAGGAAGCACUAUAAGGGGGUUUGUUCAGUCUCCAAACAGCACCAUCACUGGUGAGCUUUCAAACACAAGCUCUAAUCGGUCAGAUGCGAGUAUGAAGAUUAUUGAUGAGGGGCCAGUGCAUGAAGAUAUGCAUGACCCUGUAGAUUUUGGACAGUACUUCCAGGAGGGUUACUGUAAAGCAUCAGCCACUAAUGUUUCACAUGAGUUGAGUGAAGGAGUUACUGAUAUUGAUAGCAGUAAUAGUCCUUGUGACAGAGAGAAAACUGAGGAAGAUGUGGAAAGUGAUGGUAUGCUUGGAGGUGUAUUUGCCUUUUCUGAAGAAGGUUGAUGCAUGACCUGAUGAUGCCAGCCUUGUGCCACCGCCCAAUGUUGAGCAGAAGGUUGGCAGACGAAAGAAUGAUGUUCUUCCAGUACAGCUCCCCAGAAAUGCUUACUAACAUAUUGAUGUGAAUGUAUGACUUAUUCUUGGCGUCCCCUUGUGUUGGCAGAGUGAAAGUGCCUGGUUGGGAGUUCUUGUGUAUAUAUGUUGUAUAUUAAGUUCAUGAUGCAAAUGAUGUCUGAACAUUCUCUUUUUCUUCCCCCGGUGUAACAAUAUUUGUUCUUUCAAAGAAAAGAAAAUAAAAGAAGUAUCCACAAAAAGAAAAACCAAAGACAGAAAAGAAAUGCAGGUUGAAGGGUCUUUAUCUUCCACAAGUUCUUCUUAUAGAAGAUUGGUGAUCUUGGGAAAGUGAAGUGAAACAAACAAACAUGGCGGAAUAGAUAGUUUUUGGUACGCACAAUAAUGCUUUCGUUGACAGAAAACUCCACUGUUUAUGUAUGUUUCCCUAAGUUUACAGAAUUUCUCCUUAUAACCAUGCUAUACAUCUUUCUACAAGAAAUUCUUAGGAGAUCAUGUUGAGGUCUGAUGGAA